rnacentral:lncRNA from 1 species
UAGAACCUAGACCUAAUUCUAGAUCCCCUCCCAUUGAAAAAGCUAAGAGCUGACAACCGCAAAAGACCAAAAACUAGACGGAGGAGGCAGAUUAAUUCUUUGUUCUUGAAUUUCACCAAAAAAAUAGCCAUUUUCCUAUCCCCUUUCUAAUUCUAUCUUCCCAUAAAGAUAUAUCUAAUAUCAAAAGAACAACUGACUUAUUCACAAAAAAGAUGGCAAACGCAAAAGAAAACAAAAAAAAAAGAACAAAGAGAACAGAGAAAAAGAAGAAGCAAAAAUUAGAGGAAGAUAGAUAUGGUAAGUUGAGUGAAAAUUUUGAUGUUGAGGUCUUGAUUGUUCGGAUCUGAGUGACAAAGAGGUGGUGGGACUGUUCGUUCGGUGCUCGAGGUUUCUGGUUCUGAUUUCUGUCUAUACCAUUAUUGUUGUAACCGAGAUGGCAUCGCAUCUUGAGGUCCACUCUCAUCUUGCUUAUGUUAAUUGAUAUGUCAAUAAUUUAGUGUUGGCAUUGCUUAUUAUUAAUUCUUUGUUGAGCUUCAUACUAGAUUGAAAUGUGAAAAAAUGCUUCUGCUUAUUUGUGUUAGUUUAGAUACGAGAUGAAUGGUGUUAAAUUACAAGCAGCUCAUUUGCAUUUAAGUGUUAAGGUGCUAUUUUUAAAAGAAAGAGCCUUGAUUAGAUUAUAUGGGAAAUAAAAUGACUUAAAACGUUGAUGCAAAAUUUUAGAGUAACAAGCUGGGUAAGGUGACGUCCACUCUUGGGAAGGAUAACAUGGGAAUCAACCAUUUGAACAAUUGUUGGAAGCAUGUUUGAAUUCAUUAGUGUAGUCGUUUUUUUAUAUUAGAGUAGAAUUAUUGUUAAAUGAUUUAAUUGCUCCAAAAGUGGGAUUCAACAUUUAGUCGUUUUAGGCGUUCAUUUCAUGAUGAGUUGUGAAAAUCUUAAGUAAUUUUUGGGAAUUAAGUUGCUUUCCUUGGGGGCAUUAAAAUUGAUACAAUAGCUAAUUUGUAACUUGUGACUUGCUAAUAAUAACUAAGUCACGAUUUUUUUUUUUCACAAAUAAUUCCAUAAUCUAUGGACUUACAAUAAUCUCAAAGUAGUUUUAGGAAGAAACAAUUAAAUUAUGAACAUCAUAGUUUGCUUUAGGCACGAUUAAUAAAUCCUCGUGACUAUGGGUACGGUUCCCGUGGCAUAGUUGCGAUACAUGAAUCCAAAUUCGGGUGGCAUUUUAUGCUACUCGGCCAUAACUUCGAUAAUGAUAAAAAUAAACAUGUUGUAAAUCGCGAGUGCAUUCCAUGUGACGCGAUUCACAAUGUGUUCAAAAACGACAAGUAUACGACAAUCGCGCCUUGUUCCGAAAAUAAAUCCAUAAAUGUUAAAAGCAGUUUAAAGGAAUAAAAUGCACAUAGGUUUUAAAUAUGUAAUUAAUCAGUUAACUAGGCCAACUAAUAAUAGUAGAGCGACGCUAAAAUCACGGAACCUAGGAAUACCUAACACCUUCUCUCGGGUUAACAGAAAUCCUUACUCGUAUUUCUGUGUUUGCAGACCAUAAAUAAGAGUCAACUUCCUCGAUUUGGAAUUUUAAACCGGUGACUUGGGACACCAUAAAUUAUCCCAGGUGGCGACUCUGAAUUUGAAUAAAUAAUCACGUUUCGGUUAUUGUCACUUUAAUUGGAAAAACUCCCUUAUAUCCCUUUCAGGUAAAAAAAGAGGUGUGACACAUGGAUUCGCGAGCGGGGUGAAUAAGUGCAUCUAUGGUUCGUGUCGUUUGAUCCUCGGUAGUGCACAUUUUACUUUAAUGUGGAUCGUGUCGAUCGUCUUCGGGGGUAUUUGUAUGUGAUAACAGAACCAGAACCCUUAUAAUUCAUAUGACUUAUUGCUGGAAAGGCCACUAAUUUAAAUGAGGAAAGUGCUUAGUUUUAUUAAUUGGAUGAAAGGAUUUUCAAUAAUUAUUCUUGUUUGAUCUUGUUGUU